rnacentral:rRNA from 1 species
UACGUAGGCAGCAAGCGUUGUUCGGAGUUACUGGGCGUAAAGGGUGUGUAGGCGGUUUUCUAAGUCUGGUGUGAAAUCUCCCGGCUCAACUGGGAGGUGCGCCGAAAACUGGAAGGCUAGAGUGCGGGAUGGGAGAGUGGAAUUCCUGGUGUAGCGGUGAAAUGCGUAGAUAUCAGGAGGAACACCUGUGGUGUAGACGGCUCUCUGGACCGCAACUGACGCUGAGACACGAAGCGUGGGUAGCAAACAGG